GACGAACGCUGGCGGCGUGCUUAACACAUGCAAGUCGAACGGAAAGGCCCUGCUUUUGUGGGUUGCUCGAGUGGCGAGCGGGUGAGUAACACGUGAGUAACCUGCCCUUGACUUUCGGAUAACUUCAGGAGGCUGGGGCUAAUACCGGAUAGGAGCUCCUGCUGCAUAGUGGGGGUUGGAAAGAUUCGGCGGUUGGGGAUGGACUCGCGGCUUAUCAGCUUGUUGGUGGGGUAGUGGCUUACCAAGGCUUUGACGGGUAGCCGGCCUGAGAGGGUGACCGGCCACAUUGGGACUGAGAUACGGCCCAGACUCCUACGGGAGGCAGCAGUGGGGAAUAUUGCACAAUGGGCGGAAGCCUGAUGCAGCAACGCCGCGUGCGGGAUGACGGCCUUCGGGUUGUAAACCGCUUUCGCCUGUGACGAAGCGUGAGUGACGGUAAUGGGUAAAGAAGCACCGGCUAACUACGUG
rnacentral:rRNA from 1 species